UACGUAGGGUGCAAGCGUUAUCCGGAAUUACUGGGUGUAAAGGGUGUGUAGGCGGCAAGACAAGUCAUAUGUGGAAUCCCAACGCUUAACGUUGGAAUUGCAUAAGAAACUGUCUGGCUAGAGUGCAGGAGAGGUAAGCGGAAUUCCUAGUGUAGCGGUGAAAUGCGUAGAUAUUAGGAAGAACACCAGUGGCGAAGGCGGCUUACUGGACUGAAACUGACGCUGAGACACGAAAGCGUGGGGAGCAAACAGG
rnacentral:rRNA from 1 species